rnacentral:rRNA from 1 species
GACGAACGCUGGCGGCGUGCUUAACACAUGCAAGUCGAACGGAAAGGCCCUGCUUUUGUGGGGUGCUCGAGUGGCGAACGGGUGAGUAACACGUGAGUAACCUGCCCUUGACUUUGGGAUAACUUCAGGAAACUGGGGCUAAUACCGGAUAGGAGCUCCUGCUGCAUGGUGGGGGUUGGAAAGUUUCGGCGGUUGGGGAUGGACUCGCGGCUUAUCAGCUGGUUGGUGGGGUAGUGGCUUACCAAGGCCUUGACGGGUAGCCGGCCUGAGAGGGUGACCGGGCAGAUUGGGACUGAGAUACGGCCCAGACUCCUACGGGAGGCAGCAGUGGGGAAUAUUGCACAAGGGGCGGAAGCCUGAUGCAGCAACGCCGCGUGCGGGAUGACGGCCUUCGGGUUGUAAACCGCUUUCGCCUGUGAGGAAGCGUGAGUGACGGUAAUGGGUAAAGAAGCACCGGCUAGCUACGUG